UCAAUGUCUGUAGGUAAACCCUACUCUCCUU
rnacentral:piRNA from 1 species